CAGUCGAGCGACGGACGAGAAGCUUGCUUCUCUGAUGUUAGCGGCGGACGGGUGAGUAACACGUGGAUAACCUACCUAUAAGACUGGGAUAACUUCGGGAAACCGGAGCUAAUACCGGAUAAUAUUUUGAACCGCAUGGUUCAAAAGUGAAAGACGGUCUUGCUGUCACUUAUAGAUGGAUCCGCGCUGCAUUAGCUAGUUGGUAAGGUAACGGCUUACCAAGGCAACGAUGCAUAGCCGACCUGAGAGGGUGAUCGGCCACACUGGAACUGAGACACGGUCCAGACUCCUACGGGAGGCAGCAGUAGGGAAUCUUCCGCAAUGGGCGAAAGCCUGACGGAGCAACGCCGCGUGAGUGAUGAAGGUCUUCGAUCGUAAAACUCUGUUAUUAGGGAAGAACAAAUGUGUAAGUAACUAUGCACGUCUUGACGGUACCUAAUCAGAAAGCCACGGCUAACUACGUGCCAGCAGCCGCGGUAAUACGUAGGUGGCAAGCGUUAUCCGGAAUUAUUGGGCGUAAAGCGCGCGUAGGCGGUUUUUUAAGUCUGAUGUGAAAGCCCACGGCUCAACCGUGGAGGGUCAUUGGAAACUGGAAAACUUGAGUGCAGAAGAGGAAAGUGGAAUUCCAUGUGUAGCGGUGAAAUGCGCAGAGAUAUGGAGGAACACCAGUGGCGAAGGCGACUUUCUGGUCUGUAACUGACGCUGAUGUGCGAAAGCGUGGGGAUCAAACAGGAUUAGAUACCCUGGUAGUCCACGCCGUAAACGAUGAGUGCUAAGUGUUAGGGGGUUUCCGCCCCUUAGUUCUGCAGCUAACGCAUUAAGCACUCCGCCUGGGGAGUACGACCGCAAGGUUGAAACUCAAAGGAAUUGACGGGGACCCGCACAAGCGGUGGAGCAUGUGGUUUAAUUCGAAGCAACGCGAAGAACCUUACCAAAUCUUGACAUCCUUUGACAACU
rnacentral:misc_RNA from 1 species